rnacentral:rRNA from 1 species
CCUACGGGAGGCAGCAGUAGGGAAUCUUUCACAAUGGGCGAAAGCCUGAUGGAGCAACGCCGCGUGCAGGAUGAAGGCCUUCGGGUUGUAAACUGCUUUUAUAAGCGAGAAAUAUGAUGGUAACUUAUGAAUAAGGAUCGGCUAACUACGUGCCAGCAGCCGCGGUCAUACGUAGGAUCCGAGCAUUAUCCGGAGUGACUGGGUGUAAAGAGUUGCGUAGGUGGCAGAAUAAGUAGCUAGUGAAAUCUGGUGGCUCAACCAUUCAGACUAUUAGCUAAACUGUUAAGCUCGAGACCGUUAGGGGUAACUGGAAUUUCUAGUGUAGGAGUGAAAUCCGUAGAUAUUAGAAGGAACACCAAUAGCGUAGGCAGGUUGCUGGGACGGGUCUGACACUAAGGCACGAAAGCGUAGGGAGCAAACGGGAUUAGAUACCCUUGUAGUC